UGUUCCCGCCCUUUCUCUUUUUCGAAGCGCCGGACCUAGAUUCCAUCUGCAAAGACAUAGAGAGGAAACAACACAAACACAAAACAGAUUAGAAAGCAAAAUAGAAUUCCAACUACUGUAAUGGUCGCUACUGCUUCGCCUAGCGAGAACCUAGCGAAGCUUUGCUACAGGUUCGCCUAGCGAAGUGGCAGCGAAUGCUCGCCACUGAUUCGCCUAGCGAGUUGCUAGCGAA
rnacentral:lncRNA from 1 species